CCUACGGGUGGCAGCAGUGAGGAAUAUUGGUCAAUGGGCGGGAGCCUGAACCAGCCAAGCCGCGUGAGGGAAGACUGUACAGCGUAUCUUACACCUCUUUUGUCAGGGAACAAAGGCGGUGACUAGUCCCCGGAUGAGCGUACCUGAAGAAACAGCAUCGGCUAACUCCGUGCCAGCAGCCGCGGUAAUCCGGAGGAUGCGAGCGGUAUCCGGAUUUAUUGGGUUUAAAGGUUGCGCAGGGGGACUGUUAAGUCAGCGGGAAAAGCCCGGGGGUCAACCCCGGCGAGCCGUUGAAACUGGCGGGCUGGAGUUGGAGAGAGGUAAGCGGAAUGCGCGGUGUAGCGGUGAAAUGCUUAGAUAUCGCGAAGAACCCCGAUUGAGAAGGCAGCGUACUGGCUCCAAACUGACGCUGAGGCACGAAAGCGUGGGUAUCGAACAGGAUUAGAUACCCGGGUAGUC
rnacentral:rRNA from 1 species